AUUGAACGCUGGCGGCAGGCUUAACACAUGCAAGUAGAGCGAGCGGCGGACGGGUGAGUAAUGUCUGGGAAACUGCCUGAUGGAGGGGGAUAAAUACUGGAAACGGUAGAUAAUAACGAAUCCCAUAAGAUGUGCCCAGAUGGGAUUAGCAAGUAGGUGGGGUAAUGGCUCACCUAGGCGACGCUCCAUAGCUGGUCUGAGAGGAUGACCAGCCACACUGGAACUGAGACACGGCCCAGACUCCUACGGUAGGCAGCAGUGUGGAAUAUUGCACAAUGGGCGCAAGCCUGAUGCAGCCAGGCCGCGUGUGUGAAGAAGGCCUUCGGGUUGUAAAGCACUUUCAGCGAGGAGGCGUUACUCGCAGAAGAAGCACCGGCUAACUCCGUGCCAGCAGCCGCGGUAAUAC
rnacentral:rRNA from 1 species